UUCGAAUCACCGGAUGUGCCUUCAUUGUUUCUCUUGGCAUGUAAUGGUACAUUAUAUUUGACACCUGCAGGUUGCACCAGUGACGAGCAAGGAAGCUUUAAGAAAGAGAGAGUUGUUAUCGCAAUGAAAGGGGCCGAGCCGUGGUAUGUUCAUCGAAACAAGCAACAGAGAGUAGAGCAGCAAUGUUGACUCAGCUCGAAGCAUGUAAACAAAACCCGAGCCCACCACAACGCUUCCCACGCCUGUGUACCUACGCACUGUACUGGUCUGUGGUGUCUCUUGCCUCUGAUGAUGUCCUCACAGAUUCCAGAAGGUAGAAGAGACGGUUAAAGGAGAUAAAUGAAGAGACCAAACGAAGGAAGGUCGUCGUUUGGCCCACUCGCCUAUUGCAGUUUUCCGGGUCUUGAGUUGACGGAGGUGGCUUGCACACGCGAAAAGAAGAUAAGAUAUGUAAACAAGAGCGAAAUGGCCAAGCAAACAUCCCUCCCGCGCUCCCUAAAUGCUACACGAACGAUUGAAGGUGACAGACAGAAAGGUCGGAGCCGCCGCUGGUAGCCCGCGAAAGAGGGAAAGAGAGAAAGAGAGACGUAACAACACAGGCAAUCGGCGGAGGAGAGGCAUAAACAACACCACCACAGCGAUAACUCAUUAAAACACAGACGGAAGGAUAAACAAGAAGGAAAAAAAUACAUGUAAAUAAAUAAUACAAGUAAGAACAAAUUAUUAUCCAAAAGAAAGAAGAAAAAAAGGAAAAUUGAAGAUGAUAAAUGGAGAAAUAA